CUGGGAGUCCUCCUUCCCCUGUCAGUACAGCACCUCCUCCAACCCCUUUCCAGAAGCACUAGGAUGGCUGGCGCGCUGGUUCCUAGGUCGCUGCUGCCCGGUCUGUGCUGACAACAGCCAUGCAAGCUGUGGGGAUGAACGACCCUCUGGCACCUGCAGCACUACAGCUCAGACUGACCGCGCUCAGCGGGGGAUCUCAAUAGUAGUAUGGGAAUGACGGUGUGAAGAACCAUAAAGAGAGACAGCUAAAUGAGGAUGCUAAGGAGUCCUCUCAGAGAAGCCUAAUAACCUAAGAACCGGGGCCUGAAAAAGGAGAGAGAGAGAGAGAGAGAGAGAGAGAGAGAGAGAGAGAGAGAGAGAGAGAGAGAGAGAAUCCAAAACCAAAGCUACAGUCUCACAGCAGCUACCUGCUGCUGCUGCUGAAUAGGUCCACGUGGGUGUGAGGGUGUCUGCUGAGUGCAUUGAAGGCAGGUGAUGAGGUCCACCGGUUCCCAUAUUGGAGCUGGAGAGGGUGGCAUGAGGCACGCAUGGUGCAGAAUGGGUGACUCUAGUCUACGAGGGGAUCAACACUGAAAUUCAAGCGUCUAGUUCCUGGAUAUUCAGGACUGCAAGUCUUGAAUGGUGGAGUAAAGGAACAUAACAGCCCUUAUAGACUAGGUAAGGAGAAAAGAGAGUGAGAGAAUUUGGCAUAGAGGAAGAGGAAGAAGGAAAGAGGGGGAGAGAGAGAGAGAGAGAGAGAGAGAGAGAGAGAGAGAGAGAGAGAUUAUGAAUCACAGGAGAGAGUACUAUUUCUUCUCCAGCAAGCCAAUUUCUUUUGAAGUCAGGCCUGUAAGAGGAGCUAUGAGCCUGAAAAAAACGGGAAAGCUGGAAAGCUGUGUCUGUGGCUGCUGCUGAGCUGGGCUCAGAGAUCAAAAAUAUCGAAAUUUGGACUCAAACAAUGUAGAAGCUGGAGAAUGUGGAGAAGUAUUGUGUAAUACUGUCAUCUGGACAGGGCUUGGACAUUAGAAAAUGGCUUCAGAGUAGCUGUGGCUAUCCACACAAGACCUGCAGAAGCUGAGCUGGUUAAAAGUCCAACAUGAAGGGGCAAGUGAAAUCAUUAGCAGUUGACUGCUACUGAGUUCAGAAGAGUUACUUUGUUUUUUGUUUGUUUGUUUGUUUGAGAGUGUCAUAGCCAG
rnacentral:lncRNA from 1 species